rnacentral:rRNA from 1 species
AGUGAACGCUGGCGGUAGGCCUAACACAUGCAAGUCGAACGGCAGCACAGUAAGAGCUUGCUCUUACGGGUGGCGAGUGGCGGACGGGUGAGGAAUACAUCGGAAUCUACUUUUUCGUGGGGGAUAACGUAGGGAAACUUACGCUAAUACCGCAUACGACCUACGGGUGAAAGCAGGGGAUCUUCGGACCUUGCGCGAUUGAAUGAGCCGAUGUCGGAUUAGCUAGUUGGCGGGGAAAAGGCCCACCAAGGCGACGAUCCGUAGCUGGUCUGAGAGGAUGAUCAGCCAAACUGGAACUGAGACACGGUCCAGACUCCUACGGGAGGCAGCAGUGGGGAAUAUUGGACAAUGGGCGCAAGCCUGAUCCAGCCAUACCGCGUGGGUGAAGAAGGCCUUCGGGUUGUAAAGCCCUUUUGUUGGGAAAGAAAAGCAGCAGGUUAAUACCCCGCUGUUCUGACGGUACCCAAAGAAUAAGCACCGGCUAACUUCGU